rnacentral:rRNA from 1 species
UACGUAGGGUGCAAGCGUUGUCCGGAAUUAUUGGGCGUAAAGAGCUCGUAGGCGGUUUGUCGCGUCGAAUGUGAAAACCCGGGGCUCAACCCCCGGGCCUGCAUUCGAUACGGGCAGACGUGGAGUUCGGCAGGGGAGACUGGAAUUCCUGGUGUAGCGGUGAAAUGCGCAGAUAUCAGGAGGAACACCGGUGGCGAAGGCGGGUCUCUGGGCCGAUACUGACGCUGAGGAGCGAAAGCGUGGGGAGCGAACAGG